GACGAACGCUGGCGGCGUGCUUAACACAUGCAAGUCGAGCGGGGUCCAGCCUGUCGCAAGACAGAGGAAGACCUAGCGGCGAACGGGUGAGUAACACGUGAGGAACCUGCCCCGAAGACUGGGAUAACACCGGGAAACCGGUGCUAAUACCGGAUACCCACGAGAGACCGCAUGAUCUCUCGUGGAAAUGAAUUUCGCUUCGGGAGGGCCUCGCGGCCUAUCAGCUUGUUGGCGGGGUAACGGCCCACCAAGGCUA
rnacentral:rRNA from 1 species